UGCGUCUCAGUUUGCCUCAGACUUAAGUGGCUGGUGGAAGUGAGAGAUCUCUAAAGAUUCACCCAAUCCCAUUGUUCUAAGGUAAUAAAUCCUAUAAUUGCUGUAUCCUCAGAACCCAGCACGGGGCACUGCAUACGGUAGAUCUGCUUAACCAUGUACCAAAUGCAUCCGCCUCUUCCCCAACAUCCAUUACUACUGGAACCCACCAAGAACUGAAUUCCAUGGUACUUCUCAGGAUUCUUGAGGUCUGGACUAAGCCCUGGAUUGGGAAAGACGUGUUUAUGAUGCAGACCAGUUGGGGAGAUUUUUCUUGAAGGAGCAGCAGCUUGGGAAUAGCUGACCUGGUGAGAGCAUUCCUCUUCAUCUUGGCUCUGUCUGCUGUAGUUGGGGCACCUGUCAUUCUGGAUAAGGAUAGCAUGUUCAUAAAAGGGAAAUGAGUGGAGAAGGAGGGAAGGAGUUGUGAGCAAAGCAUUUAAAGCGUUGCCAGAAUAUAAGCAACAGUGCUUCAUGUCGUGAAAAACUGAGAAAAGGAGUCUUUAUGUACAGGAAGAACUCAGCAGCUGACCUCAAGAAGAAAGGAAAACAUCCUCUCUUCACUUUUCUCUGGGAUGCCUGUGCCCAGGGUCUUGAGUUUCCGACUGGGGCAUAAUGGAUUUUUGGUGGCCUGUGACUUUAUUAUGGGUCUUUUCCCAAAGUGUUUUGAAAUGGUAUGAAAGAGUGUAUUCAGUUAGAAACCUUGAGUUCUACUCCCAGGCUACUUAGAGGUUGUUUUGCAAACUUGAACAAGUCAAGUAAACCUGACUUCAACUCUACGCAAUGGAUUAUGCAAUGGUUGAAGUUCUAAGCUUGGAAGUUUCCAAUGAGAACAAAUAGGGGUGGUGAGAGCUGCCCUGCCCCUUUCAGGGACAUUAAGAGGGUCACCAGGCAGGUGAAUGUGACAGUGCCCUAAAGUUAUGAAGAAAUCUGUGCAAAACUGUAUGUUGUUAUAGUUCUUCUUGGGGCUGAUGCACCGUGACCCCUUCAACAGUUGAUGAAUCAUGGGAUAAUUGUUGAUGAGUCAUGGGAUAGGUGCUGCUUCAAGGGAUGUGGAUGUAGGUUGGACAGAGGCCGACCCCAACUCUCUACUCAUUUGCACUGUGCAUGGCAAAUUUGUUCUGGGAGUUUCUGCUUUGCUCCUGUCUUAAGCCAUCAGACCACGUGUUCAGUAGUCCAGCCCUGGCCACAGCCUCUCUGCCUGGCUGGGCCCAGGCUACUUCUAAACUCUCUGUUUUUUUUAUUUUAUUUUAUUUUUAUUUUUUUUUAUUUCAGAUUUUAUCCAACAUGGAUGUCUUGAUCCAAGAGAAAAAAAGGGAUCCCUUCAAAGUCCUUUCCCCAGUUUCCUGCUUAGUCCCACUCCUAGAGCCCUAGGGGGUUCUGUAGCUCCUCUAUAUUUUCAGGGAACUGAGCUGAAGCCAAUACGAGAUUUUAAAAGAUACCCUAUCCUUAAGCAAAGUGAGUGAUGGUGCUCAGCAUCCAUGCCAACGGUCAAAUUUUGGCUGUUUUAUUCACAUAUCUAUGUAAUUUGUAGUUUUUUGGGGGGUGGGGUGGAGGUGGCUGGACCAACAACAAACAGCUAAUCUAAAUGAGACAUUCCUGGAAAAUGAGGCACAUAAAGCUUUCUCUUUUCAUAUCCAAAAUGGAAUAAACAAUUCCACCAGCGACCACAGGAAUGCUGCUGGGGCACGAGGGCUUCAGCCUUCCUGAUGGUCAGGCACUGACUUUAAGCUUAGACUCUAGAAUUUGUUAAUGAGAGGCCCUCCUGGACAGGAAGGAAGGAGGCUUGCUUGGGGUCUGAUCUGUAAAGCACACUGGUGGAAGCUGUUUACAUGCAGCUACACAAGAGGCUUCUUCCUGAGUACCAGGCCACCCUCAGUAAGGCACUGAGUGAGCACCAGGCAUCACCAGGAAUGAGGUCUCUGCCCCAGUCCUGGCCAAAUGGAAUAAGCAAACAGACUGAGGGUGUGUCAGUGGCUUUCCUGAGUUCCCGCACCUGGUAAAUGAUGGAGUUUAGACUUGAAAAUUCUGCCUCCUGUCUCCAGGUCCAGGGAUCUCUCUGGGACGUCAGAGAAGUCAGUUAAUCUCUGCCACUCCUUCCUACCUGGAUGUUCAAUGAAAAGCCUGUUGGGCUUUCUGAGGACUAGAAGGGGGACACUGCCGAGAAUUCAGUGAGGCCAGCCCACACCCCCACCCCUUCUAGGAGAUUACCUUUAGAUCCUCCAGCCCCAGUCUGCAGCCUCCUGGGCUGAUGCUUUCUUUCUCUAUUUACAGACACUAAUCAUUUCCCAUGCAAUUGAACAACUUAAUAAGCUGCGAAAAUUUGAUAAGACAAUUUAAUUGUCGGCUUUUACAUAUCUGCUCAAUAUAGUUGGGUUUCUAGGGAAGGUGAGUGGGGAAUGUGAGCAGAGGCACUUAAUUAAAGAACUAAAACAGUGGGGCUAGAUUAGAGAGAACUCUGGCAGACACCAACCCUGGACCUACGUCUCUUCUCUCCCCCUUUCACAUGGGCCCUUUCUUUGAAAUUUUAUAAGCUCCAUCCUCUGGGUAGUAGCAAAAUAGAGAUGCAGGCCCAGGCACUUGAUGUGCAGUGUGGGGAGCUGACUUUGCAUGGGGCGGCUCCCAACUGUUAUCGGGGAGCUUUUUCUCGGGCCCAAAGUGGUUGGGUUUUAAGGGGAAGACCUAAUUCUGCGUGUAUGGUCGUAGCUCAAAGGGAUAGUUCAAAAUGGCCUCCUCAUUGAUGGGGAAGGAUGGGGGCUGAUUAUAAAAAAUUAUAAUCAUUUUUUUGGUCUUUUCCUCUAUCUUUUUGGGGAAUUUUAUGGCCAUUUGGGCAAUGCUGCAUCAUGGAGUAUUGAUGCCAAUUUUAAAUCACACAUCCUCAUUUUAUCUAAUUGAAUUCUCAUGCUAACUCUGAAAGGAAUAGGAAUCAUUAUUCCUAUUUCACAGGUGCAGAUCCUGAGACUCAGAGAGGUUAAGAAACUCGCCCAACGCCACACAGCUAGAUAAACACCUCAGGAUUUAAAUAGAUUGCAGGGGACACCAACAAGGCUCUGCUCAGAUCCCCUCAGAUCCCUCUGGCCCAUCUGUGCAUGCAGUAACAUCUGCUUCACCGUUGACUGCUUGAACCUGUGGAUCCACUUCACCUAAGAGCACAGAGAGCUGAAAGGGCCUGGAAUCCUGUUGCCUCCCGGGCAGCCUGCAGCCAAUGAGUAACUGGUGCUGGAAAACAGAAGGCUGCUCCCUUGCUGGAGUGAACAUGCAUUAUUUGUGUAAUAAACAGAAACAAAAAUCUCGUUGUUUAAAGCCAUCCAUGAAGACCAUGUGAGAGGGUGGAAAAGGGAGGCUGGAUUCUACUAAUUGGAUUGGAGGAAGAUGUAGCAAGGAAGAAGAAAUGGGCCCUUGGCAUGUGGCAGGGAGGGGACCUACUUAAUCAAACUCAAUGAUAACAGGAGUAACGGUGAUUAAACUUCUUUGAUUCAAC
rnacentral:lncRNA from 1 species